AAGCUCGUAGUUGAAUUUCGGGGUUAGUAGGUUGGUCAUGCCUCUGGUAUGUACUGGUCUCACUGAUUCCUCCUUCCUGAUGAACCGUAAUGCCAUUAAUUUGGUGUUGCGGGGAAUUUGGACUGUUACUUUGAAAAAAUUAGAGUGUUUAAAGCAAGCUAACGCUUGAAUACAUUAGCAUGGAAUAAUGAAAUAGGACGUUCGAUCUUAUUUUGUUGGUUUCUAGGAUUGACGUAAUGAUUAAUAGGAUAGUUGGG
rnacentral:rRNA from 1 species